rnacentral:tRNA from 1 species
GCCUGGGUGGCUCGGUUGGUUGAGCAUCUGACUUCGGCUCAGGUCACGAUCUCGUGGUUUGUGAGUUCGAGCCCCGCGUCGGGCU